rnacentral:rRNA from 1 species
GACGAACGCUGGCGGCGUGCUUAACACAUGCAAGUCGAACGGAAAGGCCCUGCUUUUGUGGGGUGCUCGAGUGGCGAACGGGUGAGUAACACGUGAGUAACCUGCCCUUGACUUUGGGAUAACUUCAGGAAACUGGGGCUCAUACCGGAUAGGAGCUCCUGCUGCAUGGUGGGGGUUGGAAAGUUUCGGCGGUUGGGGAUGGACUCGCGGCUUAUCAGCUUGUUGGUGGGGUAGUGGCUUACCAAGGCUUUGACGGGUAGCCGGCCUGAGAGGGUGACCGGCCACAUUGGGACUGAGAUACGGACCAGACUCCUACGGGAGGCAGCAGUGGGGAAUAUUGCACAAUGGGCGGAAGCCUGAUGCAGCAACGCCGCGUGCGGGAUGACGGCCUUCGGGUUGUAAACCGCUUUCGCCUGUGACGAAGCGUGAGUGACGGUAAUGGGUAAAGAAGCACCGGCUAACUACGUG